rnacentral:misc_RNA from 1 species
CUUCAGAAUUUGAUCUUUUGAGGAGAAUGGUUGAAAUACUUGGUGGACAACCCCCUGAUUAUCUACUAAAGGAGGCAAAAAAUACUAGCAAAUUCUUUAAGUGUGUUGGAAGUGUCCACAAUGUCGACGGUGGUGAAGUUACCUUUGGUGGCAAAAGUGCUUACCAAGCAUUAACAGUGGAAGAAUACGAAGCUAGAGAAUUGAAAAAACCGUCUAUCGGAAAGGAGUAUUUCCAUCAUAUGAACAUUGAGGCAAUUGUUACAAACUAUCCUUACAGAAAGAAUCUGCCACGUGAAGAUAUGAUGAAAGAGAGUCGAGUACGAUUAGCUUUGAUUGAUUUCUUAAGAGGGCUUGUUGAGUUUGAUCCUGCAACGCAAAGAGGUGGUCCCCUUUUCAGGCUUCGAAACACCCUUUUGUAACGGGGGAGCCUUU